rnacentral:rRNA from 1 species
AAUGAACGCUGGCGGCGUGCUUAACACAUGCAAGUCGUGCGCGAAGGUGGCUUCGGCCACCGGAGAGCGGCGAACGGGUGAGUAACACGUGGGUGAUCUGCCUGGAAGCGGGGGAUAACCUGGGGAAACUCGGGCUAAUACCGCAUACGUUGGUAGGGUUACGGCCUUACGAAGAAAACCGGCCUCUGCUUGCAAGCUGGUGCUUCCAGAGGAGCCCGCGGCUGAUUAGCUAGUUGGUAGGGUAAUGGCCUACCAAGGCGACGAUCAGUAGCCGGCCUGAGAGGGUGAUCGGCCACACUGGGACUGAGACACGGCCCAGACUCCUACGGGAGGCAGCAGUGGGGAAUAUUGGACAAUGGGCGCAAGCCUGAUCCAGCAACGCCGCGUGGAGGACGAAGGUCUUCGGAUCGUAAACUCCUGUCAGACGGGACGAAAGGUUCAGGGCAAAUAGUUCUGGAUCUUGACGGUACUGUCAGAGGAAGCCCCGGCUAACUCCGUGCCAGCAGCCGCGGUAAUACGGGAGGGGGCGAGCGUUAUUCGGAAUUAUUGGGCGUAAAGGGCGCGUAGGCGGCUUGGCAAGUCAAAGGUGAAAUCCCUCGGCUCAACUGAGGAACUGCCUUUGAAACUGCCUGGCUUGAGGCCGGGAGGGGGUAGCGGAAUUCCCAGUGUAGCGGUGAAAUGCGUAGAUAUUGGGAGGAACACCAGUGGCGAAGGCGGCUACCUGGACCGGUACUGACGCUGAUGCGCGAAAGCGUGGGUAGCAAACAGGAUUAGAUACCCUGGUAGUCCACGCUGUAAACGAUGGGUGCUCGGUGUCGCGGGUAUCGACCCCUGCGGUGCCUUAGCUAACGCGUUAAGCACCCCGCCUGGGGAGUACGGUCGCAAGGCUGAAACUCAACGGAAUUGACGG